CGAAAACAUGGCCUCCGUCAAGACAUGUGAAAACUCAAUUGCUUUUCUAAGCGGAAAACAAAUUAAGCUGUUUGAUAUUCGGUGAUUGUAAAGGAAUCUUGCCGAAGACUCUUUGAGAAAGAGAGAUUGGUUGGUGGUCUCUCUCUUUUGGAAUAGGGACAUAACUGGAAAGACCAGAAGUGGAAUUAAUCAACAGCGCUUUCUUUGUUCCUCAGUUGGAUCUGCCGACAAAGAAAUCAGAAGAUUUUUUUUUUUUUUUGGAAACAUUAAAACAAAAACAAAAUAAACAAAACACUUAAAAAAAACACAAACAAAAAAUGUAAAACUAAUAUUUGCACCCUGAGUUGUUUUUUUUUUUUUAUUAUUAUAAACAAUAUCAGUGGAUUAUCCGAUGAAGAAUUUGGAGUAUUGCAUCAUUAACCUAAUGACUGUUUUAUCAGUACCAUUAUCACUCUAUGGCUUCAUUAGAAGCAAUGGAACUAAUUAUUUCCACCAUCACCUGUUUUUAUUAUUGAAGGUUUUUUUUUUGUUUCUUUUUUGCUGACUCUGACAUUGAAUGGAACAAGUUUGCAAUCUAUGGCACAACAUUUUUGGCAGGCCGUUUUCUUUCUUGUUUCCUGACAGCUUUUAUGGCCUGACUUCUUAAGAUCCAUUCACCCUCGUCCCAAGUUUCCAGUGAGGAACAACAAUCUACCUACUCUGUUGGCUGGUUUGUCUGGAAAAUGCAAAGAUACAAGAUUCUUUGCAGCCCAACUUGACAAUUUCAAGAUCCUUAGUAAAGACAUUUUUCAACUCUGUGAUGUCAUAAGCUUUUAGAAUAGUAGUAGUUUGCUUUUCCAUGCUGGCAUGGGUUGAACAGGACAUUUUGAGACUGUUUUAUGGUUGGAUGCCUUUCCAGAUGUCAACCAUUUUAGCCACUUGUUAGGAUUUGCAGGGAAUACACACUGUAUGGUUGUGAAA
rnacentral:lncRNA from 1 species